rnacentral:rRNA from 1 species
GUGAGACAGUUCGGUCCCUAUCUGUCGUGGGCGUAGGAUAUUUGAGAGGAGUUGACCUUAGUACGAGAGGACCGGGUCGAACGUACCUCCGGUGCACCAGUUGUUCUGCCAAGGGCAUAGCUGGAUAGCCGCGUACGGUUGUGAUAAACGCUGAAAGCAUCUAAGCGUGAAGUACACCUCAAGAUAAGAUAUCCGGCGGCUUCGGCCGCACAGGUCACUUGUAGACUACAAGUUUGAUAGGCCAGGGGUGUAAGUGCAGUAAUGUAUUUAGCUGACUGGUACUAAUAGACCGACAGCUUGAACUA